rnacentral:rRNA from 1 species
GAUGAACGCUGGCGGCGUGCCUAAUACAUGCAAGUCGAGCGAAUGGAUUAAGAGCUUGCUCUUAUGAAGUUAGCGGCGGACGGGUGAGUAACACGUGGGUAACCUGCCCAUAAGACUGGGAUAACUCCGGGAAACCGGGGCUAAUACCGGAUAACAUUUUGAACCGCAUGGUUCGAAAUUGAAAGGCGGCUUCGGCUGUCACUUAUGGAUGGACUCGCGUCGCAUUAGAUAGUUGGUGAGGUAACGGCUCACCAAGGCAACGAUGCGUAGCCGACCUGAGAGGGUGAUCGGCCACACUGGGACUGAGACACGGCCCAGACUCCUACGGGAGGCAGCAGUAGGGAAUCUUCCGCAAUGGACGAAAGUCUGACGGAGCAACGCCGCGUGAGUGAUGAAGGCUUUCGGGUCGUAAAACUCUGUUGUUAGGGAAGAACAAGUGCUAGUUGAAUAAGCUGACACCUUGACGGUACCUAACCAGAAAGCCACGGCUAACUACGUGCCAGCAGCCGCAGUAA